AACGAACGCUGGCGGCAUGCCUAACACAUGCAAGUCGAACGAUGCUUUCGGGCUUAGUUGCGCACGGGUGCGUAACGCGUGGUAAUCUGCCCUUGGGUUCGGAAUAACAGUGAGAAAUUUCUGCUAAUACCGGUUGAUGUCUUCGGACCAAAGAUUUAUCGCCCAGGGAUGGGCCCGCGUAGGAUUAGCUUGUUGGUUGGGUAAUGGCCUACCAAGGCGAGGAUCCUUAGCUGGUCUGAGAGGAUGAUAAGCCACACUGGGACUGAGACACGGCCCAGACUAGUACGGGAGGGAGGAGAGGGGAAUAUUGGAAAAGGGGGGAAAGGAUGAUAAAGCAAUGACGGGAAAGUGAUGAAGGCAUUAGGGAAGAAAAGCUCUAUUAAACGGGAUGAUAAUGACAGUAACGGGAGAAUAAGCACCGGCUAACUCCGUG
rnacentral:rRNA from 1 species